rnacentral:tRNA from 1 species
GGGAAGGUAGCUCAGUUGGUAGAGCAGCGUUUUGUUAAUUCGCUUGUCACGGGUUCGAGUCCCGUCCUUCCCU